AACUGACGAGUCCUAGAUAGGACGAAACGCGAGUCCU
rnacentral:hammerhead_ribozyme from 1 species